UACGGGGGGGGCAAGCGUUGUUCGGAAUUACUGGGCGUAAAGGGCUCGUAGGUGGCCAACUAAGUCGGACGUGAAAUCCCUCAGCUUAACUGGGGAACUGCGUCCGAUACUGGAUGGCUUGAGUUUGGGAGAGGGAUGCGGAAUUCCAGGUGUAGCGGUGAAAUGCGUAGAUAUCUGGAGGAACACCGGUGGCGAAGGCGGCAUCCUGGACCAACACUGACACUGAGGAGCGAAAGCCAGGGGAGCAAACAGGG
rnacentral:rRNA from 1 species